CUUUUUCUUUUCCAACUUUAUAUUGAAUAAUUUCCAUUGCCAAAGUCCUGUGCUGAGGGGAACGCAAAAAUGAACACGCCCUAGUUCAUGUCCUCUAGGCCAGCAAUUCCCCAAGCCUGGCUCAUGAACAGAAUGGGGAAUCUUUUUUUUUUUUUUUUUUUUUUUUUUUUGUAGAUGGAGUCUCACUGUGUUGACCAGACUGGAGUGCAGUGGUAUGAUCUUGGCUCACUGCAACCUCUGCCUCCUGGGUUCAAGUGAUUCUCCUGCCUCAGCCUCCCGAGUAGCUGGAAUUACAGGUGCCCGCCACCAUGCCUGGCUAAUUUUUGUAUUUUUAGUAGAAGACAGGGUUUCACCAUGUUGGCCAGGCUGGUCUCAAACUCCUGACCUCAAGUGAUCCACCGCCUUGGCCUCCCAAAGUGCUGGGAUUACAGGCAUGAGCCACCAUGCCCGGCCAGAAUGGGGAAUCUCCACAUGUCGCAAGUCCUAGGUCCAAGACAAAACCUUUCUGUGGCUUUCUUUAGCAUAGAAAAGACAGGCUGAAAUUCUCAAAAAACGGUUUACUAAACCAAAAGAAAACAAACAAAGAAAAUAAACUUACAGAGUACCCAAAGUACAACAUUAAUCAGACUUUCCACCAAUUUCUAAACUUCCCAAACCAAAACAGUGUCUUUCUGUUCACAUCUCGCAUAAACCUGAAAAAUCUGCAUGUAAGCCUAAAGCGGAGUCUCAAUUUCCAAGGCUACAUUGAAACUGCCUUUGCAGAAAUUAUAUCAGCGAGAAAAUCAUGAAGGCAAAAUUUGAUCUAACCAACUCCAUCUUGCUUUUAACCUCCAAACUGCCCUUGGUCAUUCCUGGGCAUGGGACUCGCUAACCUUGGGAGAAAUUUGGUUUGUGGUUUAAAUGAUAAUCGCCCUUCCCAAAACUAAACCACCUUUGUAAAACUAAUGAAAGGCCACCAAGUUAGGAGGAUGAAAGGGGCCUGGAUUCUGCUAAGAAUAGUAUUACGUUGGUACAAAAAUAAUUGUGGUUUUUGCAGUUAAAAGUAAUGGCAAAAACCGCAAUUACUUUUGCACCAACCUACUAAUUAAAUGAUUACCAGCCAUUAUUCUAGAGGCCACAAGAUUUAAAACUUCCUCCAGUUACUCCUGUACAUAACAUCACCAUUGUAAAACCCCAAAUUGGCCCUUUGAGAUAUCUUUUCAGGCUUUUUUUUUUUUUCCAGACAGAGUCUUGUUCUGUCACCCAGGCUGGAGUGCAGUGGCAUGAUCUCUGCUCACAACCUCUGUUUCGCGGGUUCAAGUGAUCCUCCCACCUCAGCUUGGAGGUGGAGUAGCCGAGUAGCUAGGAUUACAGGUGCCCGCCACCACACCCAGCUAAUUUUUUUGUAUUUUUAGUAGAGACAGGGUUUUACCAUGUUGGCCAGGCUGGUCUUGAACUCCUGACCUCAAGUGAUCCUCCUGCCUCAGCCUCCAAAAAUGCUGGGAUUACAGGUGUGAGCCACUGCACCUGGCCUGGUCUCAAACUCCUGACCUCAAGUGAUCCACCAGCCUUUGCCUCCCAAAGUGCUGGGAUUACAGGUGUGAGCCACUGUGCCUGGCCUGGUCUCGAACUCCUGACCUCAAGUGAUCCUCCAGCCUUGGCCUCCCAAAGUGCUGGGAUUGCAGGUGUGAGCCACCAUGCCCUGCCUCUUUUCAGGCUUUUGCAUUUCUGACAACCAGAUGGCCCCUACCCAGACUAGCAACUCCUCUAGUGGUACCCACCUAGAAGUGGACUCAGUGCAGGAGGACUGCUUUUCCACACCCCUAUGAUUACAUCCCCAACCAAUCAGCAGCACACAUUCCCUAGCCUCUUGCCCACCAAACUAUCUUAAAACACUGAAUUUUGGGGGUGGCUGAUUUGAGUAAUAAUAAAAAACUCUGUCUCCCAUUUAGCUGGCUCUAUUAAACUCUUUUUUUUUUUUUUUUUUUUUUGAGGUGGAGUCUCACUCUGAUGCACAGGCUGGAGUGCAAUGGUGUGAUCUCAGCUGACUGCAACCUCUGCCUCCCAAGUUCCAGUGAUUCUCCUGCCUCAGCCUCCUGAGUAGCUGGGACUACAGGUGCCUGCCACCACACCUGGCUAAUUUUUGUAUUUUUAGUAGAAGCAGGGUUAAACUCUUUCUCUAUUGCAAUUCCCCUGUCUCGAUAAAUUAGCUGUAUCUGGGCAGUGGGCAAAAUAAACCCACUGGGUGGUUACAACACAUCUUAUUACCAACCCUCUGGAAACAGUUAAUCUAGAUAUUGGUGGUGGCUGUUCCUCCACUCUGCUGUUCCUCUCUCUCUCUCUCUCCAGUUUCAAGGACAGUAGAGUGACAGAAGGCAGGGAGAUGAAACAGAAGAGACAUUUUAAUAUUUUAACCAGAAAUUUACUAUUUUAAUCAGAAGUUGCCAAAAAACAAGUUGCAGCCUUUCUUAACUAAAUAUUUCUAAAUUCUCAUGCUUUAGGAGGUUACCUAGGUAAUGGUCUUUUUCACAUCUCUGGUUGGGAGAAAUAUCUCCAUCCCUCCUCUGUAUUUAUUCCCUCCUAUGAUGGCAAUUUGUUAUAGAUUGUGAAAUUCUUAAAGCCUGGUUCAUUUUCUGGUUAUCUUUAUUUUAUUAUUUAUUUAUUUAUUUUUGAGAUAGUCCUGCUCUGUCACCCAGGCUGGAGUGCAAUGGCAUGAUCUUGGCUCACUGCAACUUCUGUCUCCUGGGUUCAAGCAAUUCUUCUCAGCCUCCUGAGUAGCUGGGAUUACAGACACAUGCCAUCACACCUGGCUUUUUUUUUUUUUUUUUCUAGUAGAGACAGGGCUUCGCCAUAUUGGCCAGACUGGUCUUGAACUCCUGACCUCAGGUGAUCCACCUGCCUCAGCCUCCCAAAGUCCUGGGAUUACAGGCUCAUCUUUAUUUUCUUCCCAUAGCCAGGCACAGUGUUUUAUAUGGGGCAGGUGCCACAGGAAUGGCUGUUCGAUAAAGUGGGUAACUGGAAAAAUGAGUUGCAAAUGAUAAUACAUUAACCCGAGACAACUUCAUUAUUGUGGUUGAGAAAGUUUCAUGUACAGAUGCACUGCUGAAGGUUUCCUGAAUUUCAUGAUUUAUACAGAAUCAGUUUUAUUGCCUUGCGUAUACUCUUGUAACAGUAAUAACAUUUACUUUUAUAAUGGAAUGUUAAGUCUUGUGACCUCUGGAACAAAUUUGCCUGCCUUUGCAAUUUCAGAUAAGACUUUGCUGAAGCUUCAUUACUUCAUUAAUACACCAGUCAUGCAUGUAGUUACUGUUUGGGUCUCCUUUGUUCCUUUGUAUAGAUCUUUAUUUCCAUUGGGAAUAACUUUUCCUCUGCCCAGGGACUUCGUUUAACAUUUUUAACAGAUGCUGGAGAUGAAUGAUUUCAGCUUUGGGUGUCUGAAAAACCCUUUAUGAGAUCCUUGUUUCUGAAAGAUAUUUUUGUUAGCCAUAGAAUUCUGGGUUCUGUGCCUGGCCUCUGAAAGGUAUUUUUGUUAGCUAUAGAAUUCUGUGUUGACAGGUGUUUUGGUUUUUGCAUUAGUACUUUAAAGAUGUUACUCCGUUAUCUUCAACUUGCAUUGUUUCCAAAGACAAACCUAUUGUAAUGUUGUAAUCUUUAUUUUUGUUCUGUAUGUAGCAUGAUUUUUUUUUUUUACUGGGUGCUGGCUGCUUUUAAGCUUUCCUUUGUGUUUUUUUUUUUUUGUUGUUGUUUUUUGAGACAGGGUCUUACUCUGUCACCCAGGCUGGAGUGCAGUGGCGCAACCAUAACUCACUGCAGCCUCAACUCCCUGGGCUCAACUAAUCCUCCUGGCUCGGUUUCUUGAGUAGCUAGAACUACAGGCAUAUGCCUCCGUGCUUGGCUAAUUUUUUAAUUUUUUGUAGAAAUAGGGUUUUCCUAUAUUGUUCAGUCUGGUGUUGAAUUCCUGGCCUCAAGUGAUCCUCCUGCCUUAGCUUCCCACAGUGCUAGGAUAACAGGGAUGAGCCACUGCACCUGGCCUCAAGAUUUUCUCUUUAUCAUGGCAAUUUAAUUUGGAUAUACUCUGAUAUAGUUUCCCUUGUGUUUAUUGUGCUUGGGACUAAUUGAGCUUCUUGAAUCUGUGGAUUUACAGUUUUAAUCAAAUUAGGAAAAUUGUCUGCCAUUAUUUCUUCAAGUUUUCUGUACCAUCCCUUCCUCCUUCAGUGAUUCCAAUUCCAAAUAUAUUUGAUUGCUCGAAAUUGUACCACCACUCACUGGUGGCUCCGUUCAUUUUUAAAAAUUCUUUUUUCCUGCCGGGCACGGUGGCUCACGCCUAUAAUCCCAGCACUUUGGGAGGCCGAGGCAGAUAGAUCACA
rnacentral:lncRNA from 1 species